rnacentral:piRNA from 1 species
UAUAGGUUCAUGUAAUUUUGGAAGG